UGACGAUGAACUUUACAAUUGGAAACGGAAAACAACGUGCCUCCAAGGGGCGCAAGCACACGAGUUACAGAAAAGGAAGUGUUUAAGUCUAAAAGCUAAAGGAAUGAAAAUUACAUAUUCUCUGUUCGAGAGUUUUGGAUUCGGUCCUUUGCUCCUAAGUUCUUUCUCCCUUUUAUACUUCAUAGGCGAUCCCUUUGUGAUUAACUGCUCUAAAAAACUGCUUGAUCGCCCUAUAACUACUCACUUUCUUUGUAGUGGCCAUUUUGUCAUGAAACUGUCUUUUUAAAUGCUGUCAUUAUCUUGCAUCGUUCAACCGCUUUCGAUUGAACCCCUUGAGUCGUGGAACGUGAUAAGGUUACUUUAGCAACUGCCUCAAUAACUGCAUUUUUUUAUAAUCAUAAUGCGUUAUGUUUGUUGAUACCUUGGGCGACUUGAAGAUUUGGGCGAGACUCUGGGCGAUCGUAUGCCACUCUAUUCGUUCAGAUUUUGAGCGACUUGCAAACUUGGGCGAUGGCGUUACCGCACUAUUGGGCCCCUUAUUCGGGCGUUCACCUUGAUUCGUUCAAUUGGAUUUCGUUCUUUGGGUUAUUUGAUUUGGGGAUUCUCCAAUUGGGCUUUACUCUUUGAACUGUUCGAUUUGGACUGAAUUUUUAUGUGUCAACACCACCCAAGGAAAACAAGUGAGUUAGUAGGAGAUGUAAAUUUCAGUUGAAACAUUAUCUGUGGCCUCUGACACCCAAAAAAAGUCCUUAAGAUUACGCGCGAUUAGGUCGAAGUUCCGGACCAAGCGGGGCCGGUACGGAAUUUUUAGCUUCGUAUUUAAAAGGAGCCGUGCUGUGCGCCGUAAUUUUUAGCUUCGUAUUUUAAAAGGAGCCGUGCAUAGCUCACAGCCCCUCAAAUGGGCGGCCUGCGUCAUUUAAAAGUUUGGUGGACAACAUAAUUGAGAAAACGCGUUGGAU
rnacentral:lncRNA from 1 species